ACUCCUACGGGAGGCAGCAGUGGGGAAUAUUGCACAAUGGGCGCAAGCCUGAUGCAGCCAUGCCGCGUGUAUGAAGAAGGCCUUCGGGUUGUAAAGUACUUUCAGCGGGGAGGAAGGCGAUAAGGUUAAUAACCUUGUCGAUUGACGUUACCCGCAGAAGAAGCACCGGCUAACUCCGUGCCAGCAGCCGCGGUAAUACGGAGGGUGCAAGCGUUAAUCGGAAUUACUGGGCGUAAAGCGCACGCAGGCGGUCUGUCAAGUCGGAUGUGAAAUCCCCGGGCUCAACCUGGGAACUGCAUUCGAAACUGGCAGGCUAGAGUCUUGUAGAGGGGGGUAGAAUUCCAGGUGUAGCGGUGAAAUGCGUAGAGAUCUGGAGGAAUACCGGUGGCGAAGGCGGCCCCCUGGACAAAGACUGACGCUCAGGUGCGAAAGCGUGGGGAGCAAACAGGAUUAGAAACCCCUGUAGUCCCAUG
rnacentral:rRNA from 1 species